AUGAUGCUGAGCUAAGAUCAUUCAUCAAUCAUAUGGUUGAGAAUGUAAGAAAAGGUUUGAAGACCAACUCAACGUUCACAAAGAUUGGAUGGGAGAAUAUUUCAAAAGGAUUAGAGGCUAAAUUCCCUUUGGGAAGGAGCAACUUCGUAAUAAGAUGAACAAAUUACGGAAGGAGUAUAACAAUUUCAAGCGGUUGUUGCAAACAACUAGAUUUGGAUGGGAUGCAAAUGCUCGGACUGCUACAACAGAGGAUUCUGUAUGGGAAUAAGCUAUUUAGGGAAACAAAGAGUGGGCAAAGUAUAGAAGAGAUGGUCUUCCUUGGUGGCCAGAGUUGUUAGAGAUCUUCUCCAACUCAACUGCCCGUGGGAAUAGAGGGCUUUCCCAGUCUACUGCUAUUACUCCUACGUCUACUAACCUUGCUAAUGAUGAUGAAGAUUUUCAAGAGAUUGAUCUUGAUGAUAGUGAAAGUUAUAGCGGCACACCCAAAAGAUCUACUCCUUCCAAGAGGCAACUUGAUAGGAUUUCAAUGGAUCAUAGGAGGAAGAGCCAGACAAGGGUAAUCAUGAACUCCUCUUAGGACUUCAAAGAAUUUGUAAGAUGGAAGAUGGAAAAGGGAAACUCCUCUGCAACUUCAGUCGUAGUCCGACUUCCUGAUCCUAUGUAUGAUGGGCCACAUAGUAUGAUGAACUGCUAGAAGCUAUUGGAUACUUUGGAAGAUAUUCCAUCAGAGUUGUAUGUCUUGGCUAAGAAGAAGAUACAUAGUGAUCCUGAUUGACUCAUGUCUUUCUUGGAAGUCUGCCCGGAUAGGAGGUUAUGGAUGAUACGGCAUUUGAAGGAGUUGUCCUGAAGUGGAGCAGUUGGUUUUGGUGAAUGCUUUUCCAGACAAAUGGACUAGUUUUGGGGGGAUUGUUUUAUGACUCUUGACUACUUACAUACUUUACUAAUGGUUUAUAAUGUUGAUACUUGACUUUUGUUGCAUGUUGUUAAUUUUUUUGAUAUUGCAUGGUGCUCUAUGUUCU